UACAGAGGUCUCAAGCGUUGUUCGGAUUCAUUGGGUGUAAAGGGUGCGUAGGCGGCGCGGUAAGUCGGGUGUGAAAUCUUGGAGCUUAACUCCGAAACUGCAUUCGAUACUGCCGUGCUUGAGGACUGGAGAGGAGACUGGAAUUUACGGUGUAGCGGUGAAAUGCGUAGAUAUCGUAAGGAAGACCAGUGGCGAAGGCGGGUCUCUGGACAGUUCCUGACGCUGAGGCACGAAAGGCCCAGGGGGAGCGAA
rnacentral:rRNA from 1 species